UUCCCUUCCCUCCCUUCCCUUCCCUUCUCUUCCAUUCCAUUCCAUUCCAUUCCAUUGCAUUCUAAAUCACUGUUAUUCUCUAUUAAAAUACUUCCAUUUUAAUCAAUUUAAAAUGCCGUUCAGAUCAUCUGUCCUUGUUUUGUAGCACUAAUGGAUAUCCUGAAUUCCUAACACAAUUGAUUAUCUCAGCCCUGAAAAGUACUGCGGAGAUAACCCAUUUUCCUCUUUCUUUUUCCAUCCCCUCUCCCUCCUCAAGGAUUCUCUACAGCACAUUUUACCAUUUGGCAGAGGCUCAUGAGCCUUAUUUUGGCUACUACUUCUUCAAUGCCCUCCUGAUGCUCGUGUAUAUUCUCGAUGUUCUCUGGUCCUGCGUGAUCAUCCUCAUGCUUUAUAGGCUCCUGACCCAUGGCAAGAUGGUAAAGGAUGCACGGA